rnacentral:lncRNA from 1 species
AUGUCAACUGCAUCUCCCCCAAAUCUUUCUCCUCAAUCUCCCUCCUUUGAGACCUAUCAAAUCUACAUCCUAAAUGUUUCUCAAUUCAAAUCACAUUUUAUUCAUUCACAUUAUCACUCUGCUAGUAUUAAUCAUUUUUUGCUUUCAUUUUUGCCAAAUGACUGCAAGCUUUCCAACUCAUUUGAUUGCCAAUGGUCUUGCCUGCUCCCAUCAUUCAUCUACACAUUUCAGUUUCUCAAUGCGGCUUUCAUGGCAGCUCAAACUUUCCUGCCAAGCUUGUGCUUUCUUUCGUCCAUGUUCAUACUCUCUGCUUCUGCAACAUUGAAAAACUGUCAGUCCUUUUGGAAGCAUCAUGCAUACUCCAUCCUCUGGAUAUUUCUUCAGCUCAUUUUUCUUCUGGGAAUACUGUUGAAUUUUUGUGUGUGUGUAUGUGUGUGGUCAGUUCAUUUUUUUAUAUCUGUUUUGAUGUCAGUUCAUCCAGAGAGUCUUGUGUGACACAUACCUUCUCUUUAUGCCUCAAUAAAAUCUGGGUCAGACAUCCUUCCAGUGAGCUUCUAUAACACACAUACUUCUCCCACACAGCCCUCACCACACUAUAUCAUAACUGUUGCUCUGUUUACACCUCGUCACUAAUCUUAAACUCUUAAGGUCAGGGAUCAUGCCUCCCAUGUACACUGUUAUAUCUUAGGUGCCCUACAGGUAGUGGCACAUAAGGGCUACGUAACAAACGAUAUCUAUUGUCAUUAUCAUCAUUAUCAUCAUCAUCAUGACUAAAUAAAGUUGUGAUUUACAUAAAAUGCUAAGCAUAAUGUCUGCUUGAUAGCAACACAUAGUAAUUUUAAUUAUUUCAUAUUCUUAUUUUCUUCACCAAAAUUUAAUAUUUCUGAGCAUAUAUAUAUAUUAUAAUAAAACUCAAAGCAGAACACAAUUCCGUCUCUUGGGCAUUUUAUUGUAAGGUAACAUGUAAUAAAAAUAUAAAUACUUAGUAUACAUGUAUACCGGAGAAGGCAAUGGCACCCCACUCCAGUACUCUUGCCUGGAAAA